UGGGGAAUUUUGGACAAUGGGGGCAACCCUGAUCCAGCAAUGCCGCGUGUGUGAAGAAGGCCUUCGGGUUGUAAAGCACUUUUGUCCGGAAGGAAAACGUCGUGGUUAAUACCCGUGCGGCUGACGGUACCGGAAGAAUAAGCACCGGCUAACUACGUGCCAGCAGCCGCGGUAAUACGUAGGGUGCAAGCGUUAAUCGGAAUUACUGGGCGUAAAGCGUGCGCAGGCGGUCCGCUAAGACAGAUGUGAAAAUCCCCGGGCUUAACCUGGGAACUGCAUUUGUGACUGGCGGGCUAGAGUAUGGCAGAGGGGGGUANAAUUCCACGUGUAGCAGUGAAAUGCGUAGAGAUGUGGAGGAAUACCGAUGGCGAAGGCAGCCCCCUGGGCCAAUACUGACGCUCAUGCACGAAAAGCGUGGGGGAGCAAACAGGAUUAGAUACCCUGGUAGUCCACGCCCUAAACGAUGUC
rnacentral:rRNA from 1 species